AAGGAAGAGGAGGAGGGGAAUCUGUCCUUAGAGAGUAGCACCACGCGGAUCGACACGUUACAGCCCCCACAAUGCAACAGUAGAGAGCCAAGUCGUGAUCCAGUUGCAGAGAGGUUUGUUCAGCUGGGUUGUCUGGGAGGCGGAGGCUACGGGAUCGUCUACGCUGGGUACCGCAGAGAAGACAACCUACCUGUGGCUAUAAAACGUGUCCCCUUGGCCAAAGUGUUACGCAUACCGGUGACUCAGGAUGGACAGCAGGUGGAGUUUCCCUUGGAGGUGGUGUUACUGCGGAUCGUGGGAGGUAGGGGUGAGGCUACGGAGGAGGGGAUGGGUGAGGUUGUCCCUCCUCCCCGUGCUGCGGUGGCCUUGCUGGACUGGUUUGAGCUGGAUCGGGAGUUGGUGCUGGUUCUGGAGAGACCAGUUCCCUGUAUGGACCUCUAUGACUACAUUCAGAUGAGAGGAGGAACUCUGCAGGAGGAACACGCCAAGGUCAUUCUGAGGCAGCUAGUUGAAGCGAUGAGAGAGGUCCAUUCCAGAGGUGUUCUCCAUCGUGACCUCAAACCGGAGAACGUUCUAGUAGAAACCGGUUCCACCUCGCCUCGGAUCAGGGUCCUGGACUUCGGCUGCGGCUGCAUUCUCAGAGAUGGGCUUUACACAGAGUGUUACGGUAGGUUGGUG